GGUGGUGGUGGUAGUGGUGGUGGUGGUGGUGAUGAUGAUGGUGGUAGCUGAUGAUGAUGAUGAUAUGAUCGAGGAAGUUAGGAAGGAAGAAAAUAAAUAAAUAAAUACAUAAAUAAAUAAAUAAAAAUAAAAUACAUAAAUACGCACUAAUAAUACUAGCAAUAUGAUAAUAAUAAUAAUAAUGAUAAUAAUAUUUGAAUAAUUUGAAUUAGGUAAAAAAAUAAACAAAUAAAUAAAUAAAUAAAUAAAUCAGUAAAAAAUAAAAUACGUAAAUACGCACUAAUAACAAUAACAAUAAUAAUAACAAUAGCAAUAAUAAUAAUGCUAAUAAUAAUGGUAAUAAUAUUUGAAUAAUUUGAAUGGUGAGACUUGGCGCCAAAAACAGCGAGUCAGUCUGCCAGUGACGAUGAAGGGGGGUGGUAGUGACUGACGCGCUCUCAUUAAAAAGUCACAUUUCAUAAGUAAUUAAACAGAAACGCCUGAAACUAACGCUAAUAAUUGUGAGAUGAAGUGCUGGACUACUUAUAUAACAAGGACAGAAGUGGAUUUAAGUGAUUAAUGAAUGAAAACAAGAAAAAGCGAAAAAAAAAAAUCUUCGCUCAAUAAAAUAAAUAAAUAGAUAGAUAAAAUAAAUGUGUUGAAUAUUUAUAAGUGAUGGUUACAUUAAUAACACAAUCAACAACAAAAUAAACAGCAAGAGGAAGAGGAAGAACAAGAGGAAGAGGAAGAGGAAGAACAAGAGGAAGAGGAAGAGGAAGAACAAGAGGAAGAGGAAGAGGAAGAAGAAGAGGACCACAAGGAUAUUCUAAGAACACAAGACUCGAUCACCUAAGAUCAAGAUCAAGAUUCCCCUCCUCCUUCGCCGCCAUUACAUGAGGACAGUAACAGCUUGCGGUCUUCAAAGCUUUCUUCUUCCCAUAUCAGGUACUUGGUCACAUUUUUUCACUAACAGGUAACGCAGCAAAGUCCUGUGGCGCCUUAAAAUGACAUAGAUGUUAUAAAUUAAAGGCAGAUAAUGUAUAUAUAGGCGAAAAUCGUUAUUCUCCCUAUCUCCCUACACCAGCAGGGAAGGACGCUAACAGCUGGUCCUGAAAGCUUCUUUGACUCGCUAAGGAAAAUAACCUAACAACUAUUACUACUAAUAUAUGAAGUAUUGAAGUCACUUUGGGCCCUUAGCUAAGCAAGUUUAGGUGGUAUAAUAUUAAUAAUAGUAAUAUGAGAGGUAGUGAGAUGUGAGCCCCCCUGUUUACAUACGUAUCUUAAAUGAAUGUUCACAGCCAUGUCCUCACUGAUACACUAUAUUUUGCAGUGUUAUUGUGUAUUGUAAGCUUUCUUGGCCUGUAAAGCUUAGUGUGGGAGUAGCUGGUGGUCCUGCAUCUGCAACCACUACCAAGGGGCCUCAGUUUUCCCCAGACUGGAGGAGAAUGGUGCGUGUGUAGCAGUGAGGUGGGUAAGCAGGUGGAGAGCAGGUGAGGUAGAGCAGGUAGCAGGUAGGUGGCGCCUCACAGGAUCACUGAAGGAUUAAAACAUUUGGAAGUGAAUUUCAGUGAGAAGCUUCAUCCUAAGAUAAUGAAAUGUAUUGUUUAGAAAGACAAGAGUAAAGAAGAUAUGCUGGAAUAUUUGCUUGCUAAAAAUGUUUAUCUUCAUAGUGUACACAGCUUGUAUGAUAGUGGGUGUCAGGUUAGGUUAGGUUAGGUUAAGUUAGGUUAGGUCAGGUUAGGUUACAUUAGGUUAGGUUAGGUUAGGUUAAGUCAGUGUUUGAUAAGCCUGCCAAUGUUAACACUACACUACAUAUUAGGUUAGGUUAGGUUAGGAAACUUGAGAUGAAGUUACAGAGAGAAGGAUAGAAGCCAUAGGAGGGUAGUUUGGAAAUGAAAGCUUUGUGCCAGACUAUGAAAAGCUUGUGAUAUGUCCAAGGCAACAGGAAAAGUUUCACCCAAAUCUCUAAAAGAGGAUGACCAAGACUCAGUAAGGAAAGCCAGAAGAUCACCAGUAGAGCGGCCUUGACGGAACCCAUACUGGCGAUCAGAUAGAAGGUUGUCAAGUGAUACAUGUUUAAGAAUCUCCCUGUUGAGGACAGAUUCAAAAACUUUAGAUAGGCAGGAAAUUAAAGCAAUAGGACGGUAGUUUGAGGGAUUAGAACGGUCACCCUUUUGUUGUUGUUGUUGUUGGUAGUGAUGGUGGUUGUGGUGAUAACCGUAGUAGUGGUAGUGGUAGUGGUAGUAGUAGUAGUAGUAGUGGUAGUAGUAGUAGUGUGCAGCUACUACUACUACUACUACUACUACUACUACUACUACUACUACUACUACUACUACUACUACUACUACUAUUAUUAUUAUUCCUACCACCACUACUACUACUACCACUAUUAUAUUUUUCUGUUCCUACUACUACUACUACUACUACUACUACUACUACUACUACUACUACUACUACUACUACUACUACUACUU